rnacentral:misc_RNA from 1 species
AAGAGUUGUAUAACUCCCAAACCCAUGUGAACAUACCAAGCGUUGCCUCGGCAGGUCGCGCCUACCCUGUAGGAGACUACCUGGGAGGCGCGGUUUAGCCUGCCGGAGGCCCCCGAAAACUCUGUCAUUAUAUUGGAAAUUCUGAAAUAACAAGAAAAUAAGUUA